rnacentral:ncRNA from 1 species
UACCUUUGGGCCGGUUUUGGUGUCACUUCGUACAUUCGUGCGUAGUGGUGAAAAGGGAACCGGGUGUAAAUCCCGGGCAGACCCGCUGCUGUAAGCUCCACCUGAAAUCUUUGAAUAAAUACUUAAAUACCACUGUUAUACCGGAUAUUAAUAAUACAGACCGGUUGCUAACGGGAAGGAAAUUCGAAGACGGAGUAAGCCAGAAGACCUGCCAAUACCAUUUAGAGCUA